rnacentral:rRNA from 1 species
UACAGAGGUCCCAAGCGUUGUUCGGAUUCACUGGGCGUAAAGGGUGCGUAGGCGGUCGGGUAAGUCUGAUGUGAAAAUCUCACAGCUUAACUGUGAAACUGCAUUGGAUACUAUCCGGCUCGAGGAAUGGAGGGGAGACUGGAAUUCCUGGUGUAGCGGUGAAAAUGCGCAGAUAUCAGGAGGAACACCGGUGGCGAAGGCGGGUCUCUGGGCCAUAACUGACGCUGAGGAGCGAAAGCGUGGGGAGCGAACAGG